AUACAAUGGUGGGGGCACUCACUCAAUAAAUCUUUAAAAUGCUGCCAAGCUUCAUACAAAGAUUGUCCAUCAUUCUGACAAAUGUUAUUAAUUUCUCCUCUCAACUU